rnacentral:sRNA from 1 species
GAUUAAUAUAGGUAAGGAGUAAUGCUUGCAGACUGCCCAGGGCCCGAGAGAGUACCUGAGAGCAGGCGUUGCUAUGGUCAGCAGGCUUUAGAGCCUGAUGCACAAAUCAAACCCAUCGUAGGAACUGGAUUUGAAGGUUUCUUUGGAAAAGGAAAGGCUAUUUGGGGAGUACUAAAAGUUACAAAACAAACAACCAACAACCCGGGAACUGACUGGGAAACAUUUUGAAGCCAGAACUCUAUAUUUUGUAGUUAAAUAAGGAGUGUAUCUUCUGCCACUGCAUUGUGUGGGUCAGUGUGGCAGUGGUGCAAAAUGUCACAGGGUUGAGUCCCACGUCCCGAAGACUUCUCCUCUCCCUCACAUAGUCCUGUUACUCAAGCCUCCCUCUACCCCUGAAUUAUACUUGUUCUACGUAGGCCUUACACUUACUGUGUUCUCAGCAUUCAUUCAGCCGGGCAGACUUUCUGAGAAUAUGAUAGGUUCUAGAUGCUGCUCCCAGAAGGCAGGAGUGUGAAGGGGAGGGUAUCUUAUUGAUAACCAGGAUCUGUACGAGAUAGAUUAUAUCCAAUUAAUCUUUUGUAAAGCUUGCAUUUCCUCCAAGUUGUAAGAUCUUUCUCGGGUAGAAGAAAAUCACGGCUGCACUCAGGGUGGUGGCUGGACAUCUGGCACUGGGGCUUUAUCCAUUCCAAGUCUUCGGGACAUCUUCACAUUCCCAAUGCUCUCCUUAGGACAAUUGAAAGAACGGAUGCAAAUAAUUGCUGGGUUUUCAGGCCGUGGAGACAGGAGGCCGUCGAAAGUGAAACUGAAUGACAAAUGGCUUCACUCUGAAGCAACUAGGAUCAACAACUCAGAUCUGGAUGGUGACCUGUAGUUUACAAUCCCAUCAGAAGAGUUGAGCUGGUCCUUUAAGGAGGCUGGCCAGAAAAUUGAAAAGAAGUCCAGAUGAUCACAGAAACUAAAGAAAGUUUUGGAAGUAAUGAAGCUAUCAUUUUACACUGAAAAACAGAUCUGCACAUGCAGAAGCAGAAUGAUGUGAGACAGAAGAGGGCCACUUAUUCAUUGGUAGGCUUGGAGAUCAAAGCCAAGGCUUCAAAAACACUAAGGAAGUGCCAUCUACCAGAAAACCACAUCCCCAGCCCUGAAACAUUUAUUUGGAAACUUGGAUGAUACUUCUUAGGAAAACCCUUGGCUAAAGACGGAAUGAAGAUUUAAACAAAUAAGAAGAAACUGAGUCACAGCUGACGUGCUUCAUUGAUUAGGAUUGGACAUCUAACAAGGCUAUCACUCAGAGCACCGGGAUCCUAGUGUGGGUUUUCACAGUUCAUCUCAGAAUGGAUUUGGGGUAUGAAGAACGUGAUCACAGUUCCUAUUCAAGGUUCUCCUUUAACCUAAAAACCAUCCUAGCUGAAGAUCAAAAGAAAGAUUGGCAUUGAAUGAAGUACUGACUUAUACAGGACACCAAAAACACCAGAUCAGCUUAGUUUACCUUUCUGUGUGAUCAGACCUCCACACGUCUUCUCCUUUCUUCACCAACUUGCUACUCUGAGAGGUCUUGCACCCUGACGAUUGCAAGCAUAGCCUCAGAUUUCAGUUGUACAGUUCACCAGCUGCACAGCAAAUCACUAACGCACUGCAGUGGUUCGGAACCCACUGGUUUAUGAUACAGGGUGAUCACAGUAGCAACCCUCAAAGGAACCAGUGUGGUGAAUGCUUGAGAAGACGGCUAUUAUGCAAGAAGUGAUGGAGCCCAAAUGUCAAUUUUUGAGCAAGCUGCCGAUGGGGAGGUCAUUAUCUGGUAAGUGGCAUUUGUGUUGAUAGUAAUCUACGUGUAUUCGAUUCUAACGUAGAUAUCAGAGCGUAUAGCCAGAGCUAAUUUUUCUGUAGUAUAAUGUUAAGCGUGACCCCUAAAAUUCACUGAAUAAAUGCAUGAUUAUGGUAUAUUAUGAACUUGGCCACUUCUUUCCAUGUAUUAACAAUUUAUUAAGGUAAGUUAAUAUAAGUAAAAUGGAUAUUACAGUUAAGCAUGUCUGACUUUUCUUGACCCUCUGACUAACUCAGGGAUUUCAUUCAGCGUUAAUCAAUGGAUGUACACGAAAGACAAGAACAAAUGAAGUAGGAACCAGCAGAUUUUCAGUCAUCCUGGGCCACUUCCGUCAUUAUUUAGCAUAUAGCAUUAUCUUUCCAAGUCACACCAAAAAUCUGGCCUCCCUUUGUUCCCUCAUCAGCCACUUCAUUCUUUCAUCCUCUUUUAUACAUCUAGACAUUUCCUUUCCUAGACUGUCCUCUUCUAACAAUUGCAUGAAGAAUUUUCAUGUGAAGACUACUCAGUCUACUAUUUUGCCAAAUUCCAAGUCAUUCUUUGUCCCGCGCGUGACUUUUCGCCGGCAAG